rnacentral:rRNA from 1 species
UACAGAGGUCUCAAGCGUUGUUCGGAUUGCAGUUGGGCGUAAAGGGUGCGUAGGUGGCGGCCGAUAAGUCGGGUGUGAAAUUUCGGAGCUUAACUCCGAAACUGCAUUCGAUACUGACGGUGCUUGAGGACUGGAGAGGAGACUGGAAAUUCAUGGUGUAGCAGUGAAAUGCGCAGAUAUCAGGAGGAACACCGGUGGCGUAAGGCGGGCCUCUGGGCCGUAACUGACGCUGGAG